UACGUAGGCAGCGAGCGUUGUUCGGAGUUACUGGGCGUAAAGGGUGUGUAGGCGGUUGUUUAAGUUUGGUGUGAAAUCUCCCGGCUCAACUGGGAGGGUGCGCCGAAUACUGAAUGACUUCGAGUGCGGGAGAGGAGAGUGGAAUUCCUGGUGUAGCGGUGAAAUGCGUAGAUAUCAGGAGGAACACCGGUGGUGUAGACGGCUCUCUGGACCGUAACUGACGCUGAGAAGCGAAAAGCAUGGGGAGCGAACAGG
rnacentral:rRNA from 1 species